rnacentral:lncRNA from 10 species
AGCACCAUCUUUGGAAGCACGGCCUCAAGAUGAUGACAUGGAGGGGACUCACACUUACAGGUGUGCAAUUUGCUUCCUGCCCCAGCCCUGACCCUGAGAUGCAGCAUGGAGGGAGUAGAGGGGUGGGGUUUGCGAAGUCACUUCCAGUCAUCGUGGGACCUUUAUGGAAACCUGGGCUCCACUCCACAGGAUGAGUCUCAACUGGAACCCUUGCCCAUUGGGCUCACUGUUCCAAUCUAAAGGGCAGGCUUUCCACUACUCUUUGGGACUUGUAGUUUGUGGGUUUUUUUCACAUGCACAUCAUCUUACUUACAGUUCCCCAAGAAUAAAAGCUUUCCAUCUCAAUUCUGGGCACUCUAAGUUUACCUGUAUUUCCUUUUCACUUUAAACAAAGGUAGUCAUAGGAGCCCGUCAUUUCCCAUGACUCAGGGAAUUGAGUUCAUGUUGCUUGCCUUGUGAGUGCUUACAGCCUGUAUGUCAUAGCAUUUAGAAAUGUCACUGAACCUAGGUUCGGCUGCUCGCUCCUUGAGAGCCAAACUGGAGACACAAGAGUUGGUCGGAGGAGAAGUAGGUUUAUGAGGAGCUGGCAACCUGAGGAGAUGGUGGGCUAGUGUCACAAAGACCAUCUCGAAUUUCUCAGGCUGGCCAGGGGUGUUAUGCGAGGGGGAGUCUGGGGGAAUUAUGUACAAGAGCUGAAUACAUGCUGGUCAGUCUGUCUAGUCUCAAUGACUGUCUUGAAUAAUGGGCCACCUGGUGGUCUGGCUGGCAUUAGCUUGAUUGCAACAGGAAUACAGAUGAACGGCUCAGCCUUCUUUCCAGAGUGGGAUGUUCUGCAACCUGGAUUCCAUGCUUAGCGUUUCAGGUCAGUCCCUGCAGUUCUUUAAGCAAAG